rnacentral:rRNA from 1 species
UACAGAGGUCUCAAGCGUUGUUCGGAUUCAUUGGGCGUAAAGGGUGCGUAGGUGGUGCUGUGAGUCAGGUGUGAAAUCCCGGGGCUCAACCCCGGAACUGCACUUGAUACUGCAGUGCUCGAGGACUGGAGAGGAGAUCGGAAUUCAUGGUGUAGCAGUGAAAUGCGUAGAUAUCAUGAGGAACACCAGAGGCGAAGGCGGCUACCUGGACAAUUGCUGACGCUCAGGCACGAAAGCGUGGGGAGCAAAAGGG